CCUACGGGAGGCAGCAGUGGGGAAUAUUGCACAAUGGGGGAAACCCUGAUGCAGCGACGCCGCGUGAGUGAAGAAGUAUUUCGGUACGUAAAGCUCUAUCAGCAGGGAAGAAAAUGACGGUACCUGACUAAGAAGCCCCGGCUAACUACGUGCCAGCCGCCGCGGUAAUACGUAGGGAGCAAGCGUUAUCCGGAUUUACUGGGUGUAAAGGGAGCGUAGACGGCAGCGCAAGUCUGGAGUGAAAUCCCAUGGCUUAACCAUGGAACUGCUUUGGAAACUGUGCAGCUAGAGUGCAGGAGAGGUAAGCGGAAUUCCUAGUGUAGCGGUGAAAUGCGUAGAUAUUAGGAGGAACACCAGUGGCGAAGGCGGCUUACUGGACUGUAACUGACGUUGAGGCUCGAAAGCGUGGGGAGCAAACAGGAUUAGAUACCCUUGUAGUC
rnacentral:rRNA from 1 species